rnacentral:rRNA from 1 species
AGGCAGCAGUAAGGAAUAUUGGACAAUGGGCGAAAGCCUGAUCCAGCCAUGCCGCGCGCAGGAAGACGGCCCUAUGGGUUGUAAACUGCUUUUAUACGGGAAUAAACCCCUCGAUGCGUUGAGGGUUGAAGGUACUGUAAGAAUAAGGAUCGGCUAACUCCGUGCCAGCAGCCGCGGUAAUACGGAGGAUCCAAGCGUUAUCCGGAUUUAUUGGGUUUAAAGGGUGCGUAGGCGGCUUUUUAAGUCAGUGGUGAAAGUUUUCAGCUCAACUGAAAAAUUGCCAUUGAUACUGAGGAGCUUGAGUACAGAUGAGGUGGGCGGAAUGAGUCAAGUAGCGGUGAAAUGCAUAGAUAUGACUCAGAACACCAAUUGCGAAGGCAGCUCACUAAAGUGUAACUGACGCUGAGGCACGAAAGCGUGGGGAUCGAACAGGAUUAGAUACCCUGGUAG